rnacentral:rRNA from 1 species
CCUACGGGCGGCAGCAGUGAGGAAUAUUGGUCAAUGGACGCAAGUCUGAACCAGCCAAGUAGCGUGCAGGAUGACGGCCCUCCGGGUUGUAAACUGCUUUUAGUUGGGAAUAAAAGGGGGCUCGUGAGCCCCGUAUUGUAUGUACCAUCAGAAAAAGGACCGGCUAAUUCCGUGCCAGCAGCCGCGGUAAUACGGAAGGUCCGGGCGUUAUCCGGUUUUAUUGGGUUUAAAGGGUGCGUAGGCCGGCUUUUAAGUCAGCUGUGAAAGGCCGCGGCUUAACCGGGGAAUUGCAGUUGAAAUUGGAGGCCUUGAGUGCACACAGGGAAGCCGGAAUGCAUGGGGUAGGGGUGAAAUGCUUAGAGAUCAUGAAGAACUCCGAGCGCGAAGGCAAGUGUCCGGGGUGCAACUGACGCUGAGGCUCGAAAGUGCGGGGAUCAAACAGGAUUAGAUACCCCAGUAGUC